rnacentral:rRNA from 1 species
GACGAACGCUGGCGGCGUGCUUAACACAUGCAAGUCGAACGGAAAGGCCUUUUCGGAGGUACUCGAGUGGCGAACGGGUGAGUAACACGUGGGUGAUCUGCCCUGCACUCUGGGAUAAGCCUGGGAAACUGGGUCUAAUACCGGAUAGGACCGCACUUUAGUGUGUGUGGUGGAAAGUUUUUUCGGUGUAGGAUGAGCCCGCGGCCUAUCAGCUUGUUGGUGGGGUAAUGGCCUACCAAGGCGGCGACGGGUAGCCGGACUGAGAGGUUGGUCGGCCAUAUUGGGACUGAGAUACGGCCCAGACUCCUACGGGAGGCAGCAGUGGGGAAUAUUGCACAAUGGGCGCAAGCCUGAUGCAGCGACGCCGCGUGGGGGAUGACGGCCUUCGGGUUGGAAACUCCUUUCGCCAGGGACGAAGCGUUUUGUGACGGUACCUGGAGAAGAAGCACCGGCUAACUACGUG